rnacentral:rRNA from 1 species
UACAGGGGGUGCAAACGUUGCUCGGAAUUAUUGGGCGUAAAGCGCGCGUAGGCGGCUACUUAAGUCGGAUGUGAAAGCCCCUGGCUCAACUGGGGAAGUGCACCCGAAACUGAGUGGCUUGAGUGCGAAAGAGGGUCGCGGAAUUCCCGGUGUAGAGGUGAAAUUCGUAGAUAUCGGGAGGAACACCGGUGGCGAAGGCGGCAUCCUGGACCAUUACUGACGCUGAUCCGCGAAAGCUAGGGGAGCGAACAGG